GCUCUCAGAGAAGCUUCCAGGGGAACCAAAGGAAUACAGAUGCAGGGCCUAGGAAGAGAUGGCCUGAGGGGACCUGCAGAAGGGAUUUACCUGCUGCCCCUCCCCCAGGGGAGCCAGGAGGCUCAGCUGGGCUGUAAACACUCUGUGCCUGGUGCAGCCUGGUCUGCACAGGCUGAGAGGAUGCUCUACUUCUAAACCCCAUGAGGAAAAGGCCCAGGAGGGACUGGGAUGUUGCUGCUGAUAGCUAAAAAUGAUCAAAUUCUUACCAUAUACUAGACCUUAUGCUGGACAAUUCACUGACAUUAUCCCAUGUAGUAGGCAGAAUUCUAACAUGACCCCCAAGAUUCUCCAUCCUCUGUGUAAUCCCCAGGAUUGUGAAUAUGAUGGAUUUCAUUCUGGUAAACAGGUUUUGUUAUAUGGCACAGAUGACUUUAAGAUGGGUAGCCCUUAAAUCUGUGACUAGCAGAAGAGACAAGAAGGCACAUAUUCAAAAUAUAAGAGGGAUCUGAUGCACCACUACUGGCUUGAAAAUGGAGGGGACCACAUGGCAGAGGACGCACGCAGCCUCUAGUUGCUGAGGGUGGUCUCCAGUUGACGGUGGCAAGGUAACAGGGGCCUCAGUCCUACAACCACAAGGAACUGAACUCUGCCAACAUACUGAAAGAGCCUGAAGGAGAAGCAUAAGCUUCAGGGGUGAGAUCGCAGCCCCAGACAAAGCCUUGAUUUUAGUUGCCUAAAACCCUGAACCGAGAACCCAGGCAUCUUGUGCAGGACUCCUAACCCACAGAAACUGUGAGAUUAAUAAUUAGGGGUGUUUUAAAAGAGUUAAUUUAUGAUAAUUUUAAAAUUAGCAACACAGAAAAUCAUACACCCCAGGUGAUACCCAUCAUAACCCUCUGAAGUAGGCUUCACCAUUUUAGAGACAAGGAAACAAAGACUCAGGGAAAUUAGGAAUUUGCCCAAAGUCACAGAGCCUGUGAGUGGCAGAGACAGGUUUAAACCCAGCUAUGUCUUGACUUUAUGGUCAGUGCUCUUCAUUGCCUCAUGCAUUUCCUCUCUGUAUGAGGAGAGAGCCUCAGACACAUGGUAAAAAGAGUAUGGAACUGUUUCUGUCUGCCUGAGUGUGGAUGUGCAGAAGGGUCAGAGGACCUAUGUUUUUGUUUUGGUUUUAAAUGGUGAAAAGAUAUAUAUUUAGAAUUAACUAGCUGGAUUCAGUUUAGAUGAUCCCAAUAUGCCUUGUUCUCUCCAUCAGGCCUGAUCAGGGUGUUGGCUUUGGCCACAUCAGUGUCACUGAGCUUCUUCACAGCCUGUUUGAUCUGGUGCUUGUGGGUUUUGACAUCCACAAUGGGACCCAAGUUGUGUUGUUGUCUUCUAUCUUCUUCACGGCUGACUCAGUGCUUGGGGAACCUGAUGAUGAAUUAUUGCUCAAGCUUGCUUCUCCUGGGAGUGCUUUUCCAAGGAUAUUUCAGCUGCCUCCAGAGCCACACUGUCUUGGGCCACCGGAAGGUGGGUCAUGUGUGGAUCGGAUCUUCUUUUUGUGGCUGUGGACAUCUUUAAGCACUGCCUUCCUGGCCUUCAAAGCGUUUGCUUUGGAUUCAGCUUUGGGAGGGCAAGAACUUCUUUUUUCACUUUUGGUGCCAUCAUGUGAAAAUGAGGACCUAUGUUGAACCCUCACUCCUCUAGAAGCCAGCUGUGUGCCCUUGGGCAAGUCAAUUAAUCACUCUGAGCCUCAGUUGUUGUAAUCUGUAUGAGGCGUACUAAGAAUUUCUGCAUUACAACCCUUGAAGGGCUGCAGUUGAUGAUCCCAUAAAAGUGUGUGAGGGCCACUGUGAAAGAAGUCCAUAGGGCAGAUAGAGGCACCUGGAUGUCAUGUAGGUAUCAUUUUCUUUUCUUGAUGACUGCCAAUUUCAAUAUCCUCUGCCUAUAAGUUGGAUAUAAUCACUUUGAUGGCUUGUUUGGAAGUCAUUUUAAAUAGUUUUUUUUUUUUUUGGAGAGGAAAUGAUUCUUUAUUACAUUUAUUGAAAAACUACAGAAUAAGAUGGAAUGUAAUUUUUUUUCUUGAAUUCUUUAAAAGGUAGUUGACUAUUAAAAGCCAAAGUAAUAACAA